rnacentral:rRNA from 1 species
CAGGAUGAACGCUGGCGGUCUGCUUAACACAUGCAAGUCGAACGAAUCCCUUCGGGGAUGAGUGGCGGACGGGUGAGUAGCGCGUGAGAAUCUGCCUUCAGGUUCGGGACAACCACUGGAAACGGUGGCUAAUACCGAAUGUGCCGCAACGUGAAAGAUUUAUCGCCUGAAGAUGAGCUCGCGUCCGAUUAGCUAGUUGGUGAGGUAAAAGCUCACCAAGACGACGAUCGGUAGCUGGUCUGAGAGGAUGACCAGCCACACUGGGACUGAGACACGGCCCAGACUCCUACGGGAGGCAGCAGUGGGGAAUUUUCCGCAAUGGGCGCAAGCCUGACGGAGCAAGACCGCGUGAGGGAGGAAGGCCCAAGCGGUUGUAAACCUCUUUUCUCAGGGAAGAAGAAAGUGACGGUACCUGAGGAAUCAGCCUCGGCUAACUCCGUGCCAGCAGCCGCGGUAAUACGGAGGAGGCAAGCGUUAUCCGGAAUUAUUGGGCGUAAAGCGUCCGUAGGUGGUUAUGUAAGUCUGCUGUCAAAGCACAGGGCUUAACCCUGUAAAGGCAGUGGAAACUACAAGACUCGAGUGCGGUAGGGGCAGAGGGAAUUC